rnacentral:rRNA from 1 species
AGCAACGCCGCGUGAGUGAUGAAGGUCUUCGGAUCGUAAAACUCUGUUAUCAGGGAAGAACAAACGUGUAAGUAACUGUGCGCGUCUUGACGGUACCUGAUCAGAAAGCCACGGCUAACUACGUGCCAGCAGCCGCGGUAAUACGUAGGUGGCAAGCGUUAUCCGGAAUUAUUGGGCGUAAAGCGCGCGUAGGCGGUUUUUUAAGUCUGAUGUGAAAGCCCACGGCUCAACCGUGGAGGGUCAUUGGAAACUGGAAAACUUGAGUGCAGAAGAGGAAAGUGGAAUUCCAUGUGUAGCGGUGAAAUGCGCAGAGAUAUGGAGGAACACCAGUGGCGAAGGCGACUUUCUGGUCUGUAACUGACGCUGAUGUGCGAAAGCGUGGGGAUCAAACAGGAUUAGAUACCCUGGUAGUCCACGCCGUAAACGAUGAGUGCUAAGUGUUAGGGGGUUUCCGCCCCUUAGUGCUGCAGCUAACGCAUUAAGCACUCCGCCUGGGAGUACGACCGCAAGG